rnacentral:rRNA from 1 species
AUUGAACGCUGGCGGCAUGCUUUACACAUGCAAGUCGAACGAGUGGCGGAAGGGUGAGUAAUAUCUGGGAACGUGCCGGAUAGUGGGGGAUAACCACUCGAAAGAGUGGCUAAUACCGCAUACUAUCGGAUGUGCCCAUAUGGGAUUAGCUAGUGGGUGGGGUAAAGGCGUACCAAGGCGACGAUCCGUAGCUGGUCUGAGAGGAUGAACGGCCACACGGGAACUGAGACACGGCCCAGACUCCUACGGGAGGCAGCAGUGGGGAAUUUUGGACAAUGGGCGCAAGCCUGAUCCAGCCAUGCCGCGUGUAUGAAGAAGGCCUUCGGGUUGUAAAGUACUUUCGUCUGGGAGGCGUUACCCAAAGAAUAAGCACCGGCUAACUCCGUGCCAGCAGCCGCGGUAAUUC